rnacentral:rRNA from 1 species
UACAGAGGGGGCAAGCGUUGUUCGGAAUUACUGGGCGUAAAGGGCGCGUAGGUGGCCUUCUAAGUCGAACGUGAAAUCCCUGGGCUCAACCCAGGAACUGCGUCCGAGACUGGGAGGCUUGAAUCCGGGAGAGGGAUGCGGAAUUCCAGGUGUAGCGGUGAAAUGCGUAGAUAUCCGGAGGAACACCGGUGGCGAAGGCGGCUUCCUGGACCGACACUGACGCUGAGGCGCGAAAGCUAGGGGAGCAAACGGG